CAAGUCGAACGAGAAAGUCCGCAAGGAUGAGUACAGUGGCGUACGGGUGAGUAACACGUGGAUUAUCUGCCCUUUAGUGGGGAAUACCGCUGGGAAACCGGCGACAAUACCGCAUAAGCUCGAGAGAGGAAAGCAGCAAUGCGCUGAAGGAGGAGUCCGCGGCUGAUUAGCUAGUUGGUAGGGUAAAAGCCUACCAAGGCUGUGAUCGGUAGCCGGCCUGAGAGGGCACACGGCCACACUGGCACUGAAACACGGGCCAGACUCCUACGGGAGGCAGCAGUGGGGAAUCUUGCACAAUGGGGGAAACCCUGAUGCAGCGACGCCGCGUGAGCGAUGAAGCCCUUCGGGGUGUAAAGCUCUUUCGGCAGGGACGAUAAUGACGGUACCUGCAGAAGCAGCUGCGGCUAACUACGUGCCAGCAGCCGCGGUAAUACGUAGGCAGCAAGCGUUGUUCGGAGUUACUGGGCGUAAAGGGUGCGUAGGCGGUCCUGUAAGUAUGGUGUGAAAUCUCCCGGCUUAACUGGGAGGGUGCGCUAUAGACUGCGGGACUAGAGGGUGGGAGAGGAAAGUGGAAUUCCUGGUGUAGCGGUGAAAUGCGUAGAUAUCAGGAGGAACACCGGUGGUGUAAACGGCUUUCUGGACCACUUCUGACGCUGAGGCACGAAAGCGUGGGUAGCAAACAGGAUUAGAUACCCUGGUAGUCCACGCCCUAAACGAUGCAUAUUUGGUGUGGGCCAUUCAUUUGGUCUGUGCCGGAGCUAACGCGUUAAAUAUGCCGCCUGGGGAGUACAGUCGCAAGGCUGAAACUCAAAGGAAUUGACGGGGGCCCGCACAAGCGGUGGAGCAUGUGGUUUAAUU
rnacentral:rRNA from 1 species